rnacentral:pre_miRNA from 1 species
UAUGUACUCCCUCCGUCCAACAAAAGAUGUCUCAAGUUUGUCAAAAUUUGGAUGUAUCUAGACAUGACUUAGUGUAUAGAUGCAUUCAAAUUUGGUCAAAGUUGAGACAUCCUUUGUUGGACGGAGGGAGUACCUA